rnacentral:rRNA from 1 species
AGCGAACGCUGGCGGCAGGCUUAACACAUGCAAGUCGAGCGGGCAUCCUUGUGGUGUCAGCGGCAGACGGGUGAGUAACGCGUGGGAACGUGCCCUUCGGUUCGGAAUAACUCAGGGAAACUUGAGCUAAUACCGGAUACGUGCGAGAGCAGAAAGGUUUAUCUGCCGAAGGAUCGGCCCACGUCUGAUUAGCUAGUUGGUGAGGUUACGGCUCACCAAGGCGACGAUCAGUAGCUGGUCUGAGAGGAUGAUCAGCCACACUGGGACUGAGACACGGCCCAGACUCCUACGGGAGGCAGCAGUGGGGAAUAUUGGACAAUGGGGGCAACCCUGAUCCAGCCAUGCCGCGUGAGUGAUGACGGCCUUAGGGUUGUAAAGCUCUUUUCUCCGGGACGAUAAUGACGGUACCGGAGGAAUAAGCCCCGGCUAACUUCGUG